rnacentral:lncRNA from 10 species
UGAGCAUCCUGGAAGAGGAAGCCAGGAGCUCAGAAAUGUGUUCAUCUCAGCUGGAGACCAACAGGACUAAGACUGUGAAUUUGAGCCCCAAACGGAGGCAAAAAGUUGCCAGCUGCUUCUGGUGUGUGCGUCAGUGGACAAAUGCACGGAAACAGACCUCCCGGGAAG